rnacentral:rRNA from 1 species
AUUGAACGCUGGCGGAAUGCUUUACACAUGCAAGUCGAACGGCAGCACGGACUUCGGUCUGGUGGCGAGUGGCGAACGGGUGAGUAAUGUAUCGGAACGUGCCCAGUCGUGGGGGAUAACGUAGUGAAAAUUACGCUAAUACCGCAUACGAUCUAUGGAUGAAAGCGGGGGAUCGCAAGACCUCGCGCGAUUGGAGCGGCCGAUAGCAGAUUAGGUAGUUGGUGGGGUAAAGGCCCACCAAGCCAACGCUCUGUAGCUGGUCUGAGAGGACGACCAGCCACACUGGAACUGAGACACGGUCCAGACUCCUACGGGAGGCAGCAGUGGGGAAUUUUGGACAAUGGGCGAAAGCCUGAUCCAGCCAUUCCGCGUGCAGGAUGAAGGCCCUCGGGUUGUAAACUGCUUUUGUACAGAACGAAAAGGUUUCUACUAAUACUAGGAGCUCAUGACGGUACUGCAAGAAUAAGCACCGGCUAACUACGUGCCAGCCGCCGCAGUAA